GAGGUAGGAGGAUCACUUGAGCCCAGGAGAGGGAAGUUGCAGUAAGUUGUGAUCAUACCACUGCACUCCAUCCUGGGUGACAGAGCAAGACCCUGUCUCA
ensembl:miRNA